rnacentral:SRP_RNA from 1 species
CGGGUCUUACGCAAUCGUUACUUUGUAAAUCCCGUCAGACCCGGAAGGGAGCAGCGGUAGCGGAGCUUUCGAUGUGCCGUAAA